UACGGGGGGGGCAAGCGUUGUUCGGAAUUACUGGGCGUAAAGGGCUCGUAGGUGGCCAACUAAGUCAGACGUGAAAUCCCCAGGCUCAACUUGGGAACUGCGUCUGAUACUGGAUGGCUUGAAUUCGGGGGAGGGAUGCAGAAUUCCAGGUGUAGCGGUGAGAUGCGUAGAUAUCUGGAGGAAUACCGGUGGCGAAGGCGGCAUCCUGGACCGAUAUUGACACUGAGGAGCGAAAGCCAGGGGAGCAAACGGG
rnacentral:rRNA from 1 species